GGAACUAAAUGGUGCGCUUUCAGAAACCAUAUUUUUCCCUUUCAAAUGUUAUUGUUAGUACUUCGUGCCCCGUUUCUUGACAAGAACGUAGUGAGGACAGACAGUCUGUCGUUGUGAUGCAUACUGUGUUUAGGGUAUUUUGCCGGCCAAUUAAAAUGAAAUAAUGUUUUUUAAAAUACAUUUACACAUUUUAAAACAAACAUUUCAUUUUAAUAUAAUAAUGUUAUGAAGGAACAUAGUCUAUAUACCUUUGUACCAUAAUACUUUUGUAUCAGAGUGAACCAAAGUUAGAGGUAUUAUAAUUGGGUGACCGCAUAAAUCAUCCUAUUCUUAUGGACGAUGCAGUUUUGCUUUUCAAUUCUUUGAAAGAGAAGAAAGAGAAUAAGACUUGGAGAAGAAAACUCGGAUAAAUUCUUGAUUAUCUUUUUAUUUUUACGGACGUAAACAUGUCUAGAUUGUUUUCUGACACUCGUCUUUUUCAGAUAGGCUUAUUCUUAUUUUAAAAUGUUGAUAAUUUAUUCGUGGAUGGCAAAAUAGUUUUUUCUUGAAUAUACUUGUAUUUGUUAAGUUUAAAUAAGUAAAUAAAUCUGUAAAAUUGGCCAACUGAGUUUACCAGAUCCAUUUUUAAAAUAUUGUGCAGACAUAUUUCAUUUCAUUCCCAAAGAAAACAAGCAAUUCAUUACAUGGAAAAACACCUUUCCAUCUGUCCUGUUGACACUCAACUUCUAUGUUUAGGCAUCUGUAUCUCGUUUACAUCGCUAAGCAAAGCUACUUAAAAAUUCGUGUCUUUUUAUAGGUAAUGUUUUUGCAAAAAGUGUUUCCCUAUGCAAGAAACAAUGAUUAAAACAAAAUUCACUAUUUAUUUUUUCUGCAAAAGCAAAAACUUAUUUCAUCCCUGUCAUUGAUGGAGCUCCAUCAAUGCAACUUUCAACGCGUUACUCCUAGGGCACGUUUAAAUGUUCAAAGUAAAAAUUAAUUGAGUUAAAUAUAUCUUCUCCCAUUCUUCGUUUUCAUUCACAAAUUUGCUAAAUCAUAUCGAGUGCGCUUUCCGACUUACAUAUUCAUCAAUUUGAAGUGCAAAGUUUGCAUUGGAAACUUACUUUACAACUUUUUUUAAAUGACACCAUAUCACUUAUUCUUCUUUGAAUGGUGUUAUCUGGCAGAGGAAUAUUUAUUAUUUCUAUAUUUUCCGCUUCACAAAGCAAAAUACCGAUUAUUUCACAAUAAAUUAGUAAAAUUAAUGGCUCGGUCAUAGUCUGUGGUUUUAAUUUUACUGCCAGUAAUUCUGAAACUUUGUAUGUAGCAUUUUGCUUUUAUCUAAUAUUUUCAUAAUUUAUCGAAACAUUUCUUUUGUUUAUUUUGCAUGUUUAAUUUUUACAUUUGAUGUUGAAAUUCCACUAUCUAUUGCACUCUUGGUAAGUUUUUUACCACAAUACGCUUUGGUGUUGGACAUUCUUUAUCAUCUUCCAUGUAAAACUUUUAAAUAUUAUACCUUUUAUUGGCGAUUAAUUUUACUUAUUUUCGAAUAUGUUGACUUCUCAUUUGGAGUAGAAGUGUUAACGUACUGUACUUGGUUCCGCUUCAUUAUCAGCACGGUUUUGAUUUACAUUUUCAUAUGACAAAUUUAUUUAUUUAUUCAUCUCUACAAAAAUAAACGAUUUUAUAAAGUACUUACAUAAGUUAAAUGAACUAAACUGGUGAAAAAAUAAUGGUUUCGUAUGAACUGUGUUAGUUUAUUUAAGCAAGGCUACAUGAAUACAGUAAAGCUGCACUUAAUAGAAAUCGUUAAUUAACUUGGAUAAGAACGAAAGUACUGCACUCGAAACUACCCUAACAGACAAUAGCGCGGGAAGAUAAAACAGAAAUUGAAGCUGUCUCUCCCUCUCCAAAAAAGUAUCCUUUUAAUUAAAUAUAAACAUUAGUAUCUCCCACACAUUGUUAUCAGCGAUCACUGAAUACGGCGAUUUUACUCACUGUCAACUUAACACUAGGACGACAUUGUUACAUGCCGCGCCACCCCCUAAAAAGAAACGACGGAAAGAAACGAUAUUUCAAAUUCGAAUUAAUCAUUUUAUCUAUGUUAACUAUAAAGCUGAGUUAAAUUUAAAAGCAUAGUUAAUUAUUAGAAAAACAUUUGACAUUUUUGCGGUACACCGCUGAAAAUCUGGUACAAACAAACGUUUAAAAGAGCAACUUGAGGAAACCAAAUGGAGGAAGGAUUCGAUUUUUUCCUGAUUCUUUCUUAGUUUCUUUCCUAAUGACUUUUUAAAAUAAUUUCUAUACUGAUGAUAGGUUUGUCAGACAGACAGGCGAAUUCUUAAUGGGACAUGUUAGACUGUCCUCAUUCGAAGAAAUAACGCGAAAAGCCCCUCUAUCUUAUUGUUCCUUUAUUUUCUCCUCGUUCGUUUACUUCCGAGUUAAUGGUGAUAAUAUUUAUUUUAAAUCAAAACAACCGUAACUAAUAUACAGAACAAUAAGAUUUAUGUUGUUUAUAUGAUAUGCUAUUAUAUAACACCGUAAUAUCAGAACGAUUUAGAGUAGGCGCAAUCCUAGUUUGGCACGUCUAACCUGUUACAGUAUAAAGUUUUACAACUUAUCAGCCUACUUAAUGGCUUAGCGCGAAUUCGAAGAUAAGUUAAUACUAUUAAAAUAAUUAAAGUAAUCGUGACUAUUUAGGUCGUUACAUCGAGUGAAUAUACUGCGAUGUAGUAUUUCCUCGUUUGUGGAUAGCCUUAGGUAAAAAUAAAACGGGUGUCUCUGGCGAUAUUUCUACAACAGAAAUUAGAGAAAUCGGCCAGGGUGAUGUAUUGAUAUUAUAUACAGAGAAAUUUUUCGUUUAUUCAGUUUGCUUUCCGCAUCAAACCGGUAAAACAUUAAACUGAAAACCGAAACAAUCGAUUAAACUAGAACAUUAAUUUCGUAUGUCGCGUAUAUCCGUUCGGUUACGGGUCGUCUUGUCUUCAUAUAACUAUCUUCAUAUUAUUAAUAGAACGAAUCACACUUUUAGAAAAAUAGUAUAUGCGAAAUGCAAAUUUCAUUUCGAUCCCUUUCUCUAUAAUAAUAAUAUCUGACGUGAAAAAAAUUAGUUGAAAUUUUGUUCGAUUCGUUAUACUUACGAGUGUGCAACUGAUUUUAAUUAAAUUGGUAUCGAAGUACAGGGAUGUUAAACUAUGAUUUUAAAAACUUUAGAGUUAAUAAACAAAUAACUCAAAAGGAAAAUUAAAAGUCGAGAAGCCAAAUGCCUUCCCAAUGAACUAAAAUUUAAGUACACUUUAACUCAACUCUUGACGCGACUUGAACUCGGUUAACUUCGGUAACAUGUAGAACAUGCUUUUAUGCAUUUGAGAGUGUUUAUUAAUAGAUUCAAUCAGUUAAUUAUUACAUUAUAAUUAAACAACGGAAAGAAGACAAUCGAAACCGAUAAAAGGAUAUUUUUAAAAAGUUCAAUAGGAUACUUGUAAUAACAACAUUAUAUAUAAGUGUGUGUUGUUAUUAUCUAUUUAAAUAAAAGAUGUGUAAAUUGAAAUUCUCUUCUAAGUGAUUCUUGGCCUCGGGUGAAUGUAUUUGAAGGAAAUAAAUUUGAAGAAAAUAAAUUUGUUUUAUUCGUCCAAAACCUCUUUUCAAUGGUUAUCAAAAUAAAUGAUUAUAUUCGGCAAAUAUUGCUAGACUUAGCUUCGCAUUGAUAACAAUGUAAUAUGGCAAUUGUUAUGUUCUUAACUACAGUUAUUAUAGUAUAAUAAGUUAGGCUAAACGCCAGCAUUUUUGUGAUAAGGAAGAUGAUUGAGAUGCACUAUUAUAAAUGACGCAAGAAAAGGGAGACCAAAAAAGAAUACGACUUGUUACGUUUGUCAUAAAGUACUAAAAAAUUCCGUAGAGUUACGUAUACAUUGCAAGAGUCAUCUAUCCAACGAUCCACUUUUUUACUGCGAGAUAUGUGGAUACAAUUCAAAAUGGAAGGAAGAUGUGAAAAGACAUAAAGAAAGAGAACAUACAGCUUUGCUUGGUUCUAACCACAGAUGACAAGCUCAAAAAUGAAAUUUUCUAUGAAAAAAACUGCCAAAAAUACCGCAUUCUUCCGCAAAGCACACGAAGUAUUUGAUUAUUCCUUUAUUUGCACAACGUUUAUAUUUUAUUUUAGGUGCAUUGUCCAAAUCAAAUGUGUAUAUAUAUAUAAACGAUAUAUUGUAUAUACUAUAUGUUAUACAUAUAUACAAUAUAUUUAAUAAGAAAAAGUUGUUUAAUUUCCUGCACGGAAUUACGUGUAUAUAGUUUGUAGUAAUACGUAUAUAUGCAUAUUGUUUCAGGCUUGUAAUAUAAUGUAUUUAGUAGUAGUUUAGUUUUUAAAAAAUCAACAAAAAAUGUUCUUAAUUACAGAUAUAGAAGACAGAAGAAUGUGUAGUUUAUUGUAAAAUUAUAAAUAGUAAAAAAAUUAAUUCGAUUAUCUACAUUUUACAUUAAAGAACUCACGGUGGCUCUUUUAAUUUUUUCCAAAAAAAUUUCUUUUAAAUCGGAAGUUAUGGGACAUUUGUUUAAUUUGUGAGCAAUAUUUUUGAUUUUUUGCAUAUAUUCUUAACGUUCCUUUGUUUAAAUUGUGAAAUAAAAAGUAAGAAUUUUAUGUUAAGUCAUGAUUGGUGAUCUUUAUAAUGAUCUGUAUGCCUAUGCUUUCGGGGUAGAGGUUGGAUUGGGGAAAGCAUAUGGACUUAAAUUAUACAAUUAAUUUACAGUUUUACGGUAUAAUUUAAGAAAAAAGCAUCAUUUAAUUCUAAAAAUUAAAAAUAUAUCAAAUUCGGCUAUUAAAUCUGACAAAAAUGUAAUAUAUAACAUUUUAUUUUCAGAUUUUGAGCAAUUUUUCUUCAAAAACAGAAAUAAAAUUUUAUUUUUAUUGACCAAUCUAGCUUGUAGUAAUACAAUUCCAUUAAGUUCUUAUAUUAAUUACAAUAUUUUUUUAUAUUUUAUAAUUAAUUAUAUAUUCUAAAUUAAACGUGUAAAUGAUAGCGAAUUGUUAUAAAAUUAACCCACGAAAGAAAUGUAAAUUAUCAUUUGUUUUUGCAGUUUUGUUGUAAAUUUACUAGGAAAAAGCUUGGUGUGAUCAAUAAUUUCAAAAUAUUGUUAAAUAAGAGAAAAAUAUGAUAAGACCAAACUUAAAAUAAAAUUUUUUGUUUCUUAAAGUGUACAUCCAUAGGGGACGACCCAAGGCUUCAAAAACGUGCCCUUAUUGCCUUCGUACGUUUACCAGGUGUGCCAAUUUAAAAGACCAUGUGAAGUUACAUCAGCCCAAUCCACCCAAAUAUUGCUGUGAUGUUUGUGGUUACAAAACUCUAUGGAAGUCUCACAUCAUUCGACACAGGAAGGUGCAUUUAGAACAAAGCGGUGCUGAGCCCAACAGAAGUUUCAGUGACUUCUAUUUUGGCCGUUUCCAGUUACCGAAGACCUGCGAAAUAUGUCAUAGAACUUUUUCCACUAAGUCGACUUUGAAUCGUCAUACCAGGAUUCAUCAACCAAAUGCUCCAAGAUAUAAAUGCGAAUUUUGUGAUUAUAAAUCCAUAUGGAAGGACGACGUCGUCAGGCAUAGAAAAUUGGUGCACAUAUCCAAAAUAUAAUCACAUUUUGCACUUUGCACACGAUGAAACUCGUUGCUUUUUGUAUCCAGAUAAUACUUAUGCACUAAAUUUAGGCAAUAAUCUGUGAUAUGGCUUUUAAUUCUGAAGUUCUCAUAAACGAUUCAAAGAGAUUGAUGAAUACUGAUAACUUUGUUAUAUUAACAAAUGCAACUAAUAAUUCGUGGAGCUAUUGUGAUAAUUAAUUAAUUUCAUUUGUUAAAAAAUGUUAAAAUAAUUAUUAAAUCAUAUAAAUUGUUGUUGUAUAAAUUGCAAUUUAAAAAGUGAUUUAGUUUAUAUAAUAAAGAUAUGGAAACAUCAAUAAGGUUUUUAACGUGCGGGUUUAAUCAAUGGUGAAAAAAUAAAAGAUGACACUCGUUACAAGCAACAAUUUGCAUCAGUAAUACGUCCAUUCAUCUAAUAUGCUGUUCUAUAUUCACAGGAUUUUAUUUAGGUUUCCGCGCUCGUGGUAGACCAAAGAUGCCACGAGUAUGCCACAUCUGCCUCAAGAGUUUUUCGACUAGUGCCACCUUGAAACGUCAUCUGAGGAUACAUCAGCCUAAUGCAGCCAUGUAUUCCUGCAAGCUUUGCUCCUAUAGAUCUAUUUGGAAGGAUGAUGUUAUCAAGCAUCAUCGUCGAAUGCACGUUCCCAAGUUAGAUUAUGCUAAAGAUUCUUGUUAAAAGUUGCAUUUGUUUGUUGUUAUCGUAAAUUUAAAUUAUAUACAAAGAAAGAAACAUGGCAAGAAAUGAGGAACGUGGCCUGAAGGUAUUUAUUUACAUAUUUAUAAAAGUAAUUAUAACAUAAAUUUAUAUUUUUCGGAUUUCAUUUUCAAAAUAUACUUUUUCUUUCAGUUCCUCUUUAUAGAAAAGCCAAAUUUAUACGAAGAGCUUUGAUAAGUCGGUGUUAUAUCUCGAGCAGGCAUAGGAGAUUCAUCAAAUAUGCUUUUGUGAUGUUCGAGACGUGCAAACUUAUGUGAAUAGAACAUUAAACAUUAAUGGUGCUUGAAAAAUAAUCUACGGUUAUGUCCUUAAAUUGUUGCAUAAUUGUUUGUUUGAAUGAGAGAUUGAAUUUUUAAUUCUCCAUUUAUUGUUGUAUUGAUAUCAUAACAUUAUGGGUAUUUUUAAAGUUUCAACUUCAACCAUUUAUUUCUCUUUAAUUUUGGAGUUUUGUUUUAUUAUAACUUAAUAGUUUAUUAAUAAAUUUAGUUUAUACUUCAUAAAAUAUGUUGUUAAAAAGCCAAAAGUUCCUAAAUAUAUUUAAAGAUUUACCAUCAUUAAAUGUUGGCACUCAAAAUAUUUUCUGAAGAUCCUUUGAAAUUUUGUGUAAUUACACGAAAAUUGGUUAAGUAUGAAAUAUUUACAAGUGUUACAAUGUUCAAAUAUGUGUAAAAUGAUAAUAACCAUAAAUGAAACUGUGAUUAAAUGAGUGAGAAUGAUUUUUUGAGCGUACUUAAUUUCAUGUUCUUUUUCCCGUAACCAACACGAUUGAUUCAACUGUAACAGAGAAAUUACCAAAAAAUAUAUGUAAUGAGCCAUAAAAAUGUUUUUAACACAGCUUCUGCUCUUAGAUUAGAUCGUAAUUUAUAAAUUUUAUAAAAGUUUGAAAAUUAAAAAAUCGGUUUAAAUUAUACCAGAAACUUUGAUUUAAUUUCUACAAGAAGAAAAACAUAUAAAAGACCAGAAAAUAGGCGUUUGAGCGAUCGUUUUAUAGAUUGUUUUUUAAAUUCUUUCCUAACUUUCAGGUAAACAGCGAAAAUCCAGGACGUGUCGAUUAUGCUUUCGUACUUUUUCACGAAGUACCCACUUGCAACGUCACAUGGUUCUUCACCUUCCAAAUGCUCCCAAAUACAAGUGCGAAAUCUGUGAUUAUACUUCCAUUUGGAGAGAUAAUGUGAUUCAACACGUACAUCGUCAACAUUGGAAUUUAUCAGUCAAAAGUUCAUCGUCAUGACUUUAUCAGUUAAAAGGACUCAAGGAAAUGAAUGAUGUAUAAUGAUUUAUAUACGAAAUUUAUAUAUAUAUAUAUAUAGACUACUUUCACGUAAAGUAAUUCUGUACAAUAAACAAGAUCGAAGGAUUAAAAUGGAGAAUGUAAUGUUUGAUUUAUUUAUAAUAAUACAAAUGUGCAUUUAUGUGGUCGUGGAGGGAUUGGAAAUGCACAUAACGCGUAACCGUUAUGAUCUAAUUUUCUUGCCAUUUAACCUAUAUACAGUAUGAAAAAUAUUUGCUUUUUAGCUUUUCUAUAUUCUGUAAAAAACUGGUUUCUCUGUUAGAUAACUGCCCCCUUAGAAAGAUGCCCCGAAGGGUAAGAUGGAGCUUUGUAAUAUGUUCGGCAAUCGCCGUGAGGGAUCCGGGUUCGAUUCCGACCCGGAUUCUCGUGAUCUUUUUCAUAGACAGUUGGAAUCGGGGCAUCGAUCCUCCAUCCCUCUCAUAUGUUAGGUGACUUAAUGCGGGUGAGGCGUGCGUAUAAUCUUUGUUAAUGUUACGCGUUUCCGAAUGGACCGACCAAGAUGUCCUCUAAAAGUCCGUCUACUGGUAAAGAAAGUUAUCUAAUAGGGAAGCCAAUAAUGGUUCUAUGAGCGGUCUAGGUUUUCUUUUAUCAGCCGACUAAUGAGCUUCUCUGU